GAUGAACGCUGGCGGCGUGCUUAACACAUGCAAGUCGAACGGAAAGGCCCAAGCUUGCUUGGGUACUCGAGUGGCGAACGGGUGAGUAACACGUGGGUGAUCUGCCCUGCACUUCGGGAUAAGCCUGGGAAACUGGGUCUAAUACCGGAUAGGACCACAUUUUGGAUGGUGUGGUGGAAAGUUUUUCGGUGUGGGAUGAGCUCGCGGCCUAUCAGCUUGUUGGUGGGGUAAUGGCCUACCAAGGCGUCGACGGGUAGCCGGCCUGAGAGGGUGUACGGCCACAAUGGUACUGAGAGAGGCAGCAGAGUGGUAUGGGAGGCAGUAGUGGGGAAUAUUGUCCAAUGGGGGCACGUCUGAUGAAGAGACGCUGCGUGGGUGAUGACGGCCUUCGUGUUGUAAAGUCCUUUAGGUAGGUACGAAGCGCUAGUGACGUUACCUGGAGAAGAAGCACCGGCUAACUACGUG
rnacentral:rRNA from 1 species